UACGAACCGUACAAACGUUAUUCGGAAUCACUGGGCUUAAAGGGUGCGUAGGCGGCCAUGUAAGUGAGGUGUGAAAUCCCUCGGCUCAACCGAGGAACUGCGCUUCAUACUGCAUGGCUUGAGGGAGACAGGGGUAAGCGGAACUGAUGGUGGAGCGGUGAAAUGCGUUGAUAUCAUCAGGAACACCGGUGGCGAAAGCGGCUUACUGGGUCUCUUCUGACGCUGAGGUACGAAAGCCAGGGGAGCAAACGGG
rnacentral:rRNA from 1 species